GAAGGAGUUGUAGCCAAAGAUGCCAAUACACUACCGCAGUUACUUUCUCAAGGGAAGGCUACUCGCAUUAAUAUAAACCCACCAAUCACUAUAACCGGCACUCUCGAAUUCUUUUGAGCUCUACUUGUACCUUGUCUUGAGUCGAUCUACAUUGCUUGAACCUUAAACGUGUUCUGAGUGCAUAUCGUGUAAUGAAUUAUCCAAAUUGUAGGAACAAUGUUGUAGGGUUAUGUGCUUUUGGCUGGAAAAAGUUUUGCAGGAUAGAUUUUUAUGUGUACCGCAGUUACUUUCACAAGGGAAGGCUACUCGCAUUGAUAUAAACCCACCAAUCACUAUAACCGGCACUCUCGAAUUCUUUUGAGCUCUACCUGUACCUUGUCUUGAGUCGAUCUACAUUGCUUGAACCUUAAACGUGUUCUGAGUGCAUAUCGUGUAAUGAAUUAUCCAAAUUGUAGGAACAAUGUUGUAGGGUUAUGUGCUUUUGGCUGGAAAAAGUUUUGCAGGAUAGAUUUUUAUGUAGAGAAAAUGUAAAAUGCUGAGGAAAUGAAGUAGUCUAGAAUCGCAGUACUUUUGAAACCGCAUCUAGCAGUACUUGAAUAAAAGAAACAAUUUUCUAC
rnacentral:lncRNA from 1 species